rnacentral:rRNA from 1 species
GACGAACGCUGGCGGCGUGCUUUAUACAUGCAAGUCGAACGAUGAAGUUCCUUCGGGAAUGGAUUAGUGGCGAACGGGUGUGGAACACGUGAGAAACCUGCCUUUCAUUCUGGGAUAACACCGGGAAACCGGUGCUAAUACCGGAUACUCCGUCUUGGCGGCAUCGCCGAGCCGGGAAAAAAUUUUGAUGAAAGAUGGUCUCGCGGCCUAUCAGCUAGUUGGUGAGGUAAAGGCUCACCAAGGCGACGACGGGUAGCCGGCCUGAGAGGGCGACAGGCCACACUGGGACUGGGACACGGCCCAGACUCCUACGGGAGGCAGCAGUAGGGAAUAUUGGGCAAUGGGCGCAAGCCUGACCCAGCGACGCCGCGUGAGGGAUGAAGGUCUUCGGAUUGUAAACCUCUUUCAGUAGGGAAGAAGCGAAAGUGACGGUACCUAAAGAAGAAGCACCGGCUAACUAUGUGCCAGCCGCCGCAGUAAAAC